AAAAGCCCAUAGGGAAUUGCUCUUUCAAACUCAUUUAAUUUUCAUUCAAAGAAAAUACCCUUUUCGUUAUUCUUUCAUUUGUUACUUCGAUCAUUGUUUUGGAGUUCAUUUUCUCGUUGGUUCCUAUGUGUUUAGAGAGCCAAAGUUUUUAUUUUCAAAUUUCUAUCACGCUUAUUUCAUUUUUCUUAUGAUUAUAUAAAGAAAAUGGGAUCAAGCUUGCUUCAGUGGGAAUCCGACCGUCUAUUCUCAGCAGCCGAAGUUGUUCAAGAUUCAGCUGACAGGAUGGAAUAUUUUUCACCUUCUUUUGCAUGAACAGAGUCUUGUUCAAGGUGAUCAUUCUGACCUGAGAUUGCUUACUUCGAUUGGGUAUCAUAGGUGUGAUCUUGCUACCAUACUCGAAACAACAAAAUGGCAGUUGGAAGAUGUUGAACGAGCAGUUAGCUCAUCAACUAGGAUGGAUCAGUACCACUCUAGGGAGGAUAUGAUUUCCAGACAUAAGCAGUUUAUUAGAGCCAUUGGGGAACAGAUAAAUAAUGUUGAGAAAAGCUUGGAGGAAAUGGCAAUGGGAAAUCCCAUGAAAAACUCGGAGUGGGGAAACUUGAAUGAACAAGAUAGAGAUGGUUUGGCAUUAUUUCUUUCUCGGGGAAAUCAUAGUGAACACAAUCACCGUUAUGACUUGGAUGAUAGUGACAUCUUGAAAAGAUUUCUUGAUCCAACCACAGCAUCUUGCUCAAUAGAUACUGGAAUUGUUAGGAAUGAAUGUGGAGAAAUUGAAGAAGUGAAUAUGAAUGGUGUUUCUUAUAAUAGCCUGUAGCCAUUAUUAUGAUCCUAUGAAGGAUAAUAACUUAGGGAAAGUAGGUUCUCAUCGUUCUAUAAAUUUGGGUCUAGAUCAGUGGAUUCUUUCCAAGAGAGUUCUCGUAACAGGAAUGCUGAAGAUGGAAGUUGGGAUUUAGAAGCUACUGAAGGCAAAUCUAAGAGUUUCUUCCUUGAGAACAAAUUGAGAGGCUCUUCCAGCAGAAUGAAUCUCUUUGGGUUCUUCAAUAAUCUAUGGACUGCAUAUGGGAGUAGAAUUCCUAGCAAUUAUACUAAAAGAUUGAAAGACGGAGAAGAAGGGCGUUUGCCAUCAUACGUUGAUGCUUAUCAUGCUGCACAGCGUCAGUGUAUUGAACUAAGUUCAGCACCUGGUGACCAUGGUCUCCAGGGAUUACGUGGGUUUCUGAUAAAGGUCAUGCACCUGCAAAGGAGACUUGGAGCAUGUAAUGCCAGAUAUGAUAGAUUUUCCUAACUUGGUACAGGUAUGUUGGUCUUCCAUAUCACUUGAAAAUAAUCUUUUGCAGUUUGAUAGAAACACCGUUGCAUGUCCAAAGUGGGCGCAAGCAAUGUUCUUUCACUUUUUGCCCACUAAACAUGUGGGUGUGAGGACUUUUGUUGUUUGUGCCUGUUGAAAUUCUCCACUCUGUGGGUUGUUUCGUGUAAAGAUUAUCAAGCAUAUAAUCACCGAUCACGAGUAAAAGCAUUUCGGCAUGCAAAUUCAUCUUGGGAGUAUUCUAUUGAUUCAAUCACUCCUGAAAGUUUCACAGUAACCAUCUGUGAUUCAUGAGCAGUAUGGCUGUGCAGAUUACUAGCUCUGCUCCUAUGGUAAGUUGAGGUAACUGAUUCUCUCAAAUUAACUUCGAGUUCGCUAUCCGCCGUAGAAAACUAGCGAUACUAUGUAAUUUAGUGCAACAAAUCUAAGAAAUUAAUUCUGUUUGUGGCCUGCCGUUGAUUUUUCAGAUCUACUUGAGUUAAACUAAACAGUUGUACAGUAUCAUAUACUUAAUUCUAUGUAUCAUUCAAAGCCAUCUCAAACUAUGUAGUGGUUUACAAAACAGAUCA